rnacentral:rRNA from 1 species
UACGUAGGGGGCAAGCGUUGUCCGGAAUCAUUGGGCGUAAAGCGUGCGCAGGCGGUUAUGCAAGACAGAUGUGAAAUCCCCGGGCUUAACCUGGGAACCGCAUUUGUGACUGCAUAGCUGGAGUACGGCAGAGGGGGAUGGAAUUCCGCGUGUAGCAGUGAAAUGCGUAGAUAUGCGGAGGAACACCGAUGGCGAAGGCAGUCCCCUGGGCCUGUACUGACGCUCAUGCACGAAAGCGUGGGGAGCAAACAGG